AUUGAACGCUGGCGGAAUGCUUUACACAUGCAAGUCGAACGGCAGCACGGACUUCGGUCUGGUGGCGAGUGGCGAACGGGUGAGUAAUAUAUCGGAACGUGCCCAGUCGUGGGGGAUAACGUAGCGAAAGUUACGCUAAUACCGCAUACGAUCUAUGGAUGAAAGCGGGGGAUCGCAAGACCUCGCGCGAUUGGAGCGGCCGAUAUCAGAUUAGGUAGUUGGGGGGGUAAAGGCUCACCAAGCCAACGAUCGGUAGCUGGUCUGAGAGGACGACCACCCACACUGGAACUGAGACACGGUCCAGACUCCUACGGGAGGCAGCAGUGGGGAAUUUUGGACAAUGGACGCAAGUCUGAUCCAGCCAUUCCGCGUGCAGGAUGAAGGCCCUCGGGUUGUAAACUGCUUUUGUACGGAACGAAAAGGUCUCCAUUAAUACUGGGGGCUCAUGACGGUACCGUAAGAAUAAGCACCGGCUAACUACGUGCCAGCCGCCGCCGUAA
rnacentral:rRNA from 1 species